AUUUAGUGCCUAAAUAAAGGUUAUUGUGACUGCGUCCCGAUUGUCCACCCUCGUGCCAACGUCUGCAUUUGCACGGUCCCGUCAUGGAUUUAAAAGCAUUCGGUUCAUGAAAGCAUUGGCUGAAGGGAGUUUCCACCAUUUUGUUAAAUGGUUUGACGGUGGAGUCUGGAAAUGCUCACUUUGGGAGAAGGGUGGAGAAUUGGGACUUGGCCUAAUACACUCUUCUUCUUUUUUUUCCAUUACCAUACUUUUGAGAUCCGGCUGGGUUGAACUCGCUCCAAACUGCCAAGUGAAGAGACAUGCUUCUUUUUCAUGAUUUAAGAAGUGUGUGUGUGUGUGUGUGUGUGUGUGUGGUAGUUUGUCCAACAGUGGUGGUACCACACAGAAAUGCUUUGGCUGUACCUCAGGAAUGGCAACGGGGCUCUUUCCGCGUAUUCGUCUACAUUACUGCCGACCUUGUCAGUGUCGGCGCUGGUAGUUGCCAACGUUUACUGCCGUGAUGCUGAAGGGAUCCAUCGGCCCGGUCUAGACUAAAGAGUGACUAGUGAGUGCCAGGCAGCUAUGGUUUCUGUGCUAAGUGAGUCAAUAUUCAGUGGACUAGGCUGAGACCUGUGACACUGUUAGUGAAGUCCACCCAUAGUAGAGGACUGUAUGCAGUUGGUUCUAGUUAACAUUUAAAGCAAUAGACUUACAUGGCCAUAUUGGCUAUUGGAGAGUAACUCUGGUCCCAGCACUUAUUCGGAGGUGUGUGUGUACUUCAGCGUCAGCUUGUAGCUGUUGUCUAUGUCCCAAUUCUUUCACAUGCUUCCCUAAGCGUGCACUUGUACACUUCCCUUCAUGGAUUUUUAAAGGGACUGACUAGUGUAAGAAAAAUGGGGGAUACUCCCAUGCUUACACCAAUGAUCCAAUGCUUUUAAUUGUGUGGAGAGGAUGAACGUGCACUACCUAGAUAAGUAGAAUGUUCCUGAUAUCCUGCUGUGUUUACUAGUGUGGCUUCCUGUGCACUUCAUUGAUAUCCUGCUGUGUUUACUAGUGUGGCUUCCUGUGCACUUCAUUGAUAUCC
ensembl:lncRNA